CUGCACAGUUGGUAAUUCCAGGUUCUGGGAGGAACCGAAUUUGUUCCUAUUCCUGAUGAAUAAGAAAACACGAAGGAGAUUAUAGUUGGUAAAGCUGACUCACUUCCUGGUGUUCAGAUGAAAGGGGUUGUCCAACAGAUGAGUCUCCCCCGGAAAUAAGGCUUCCUUCAGAUCACCUGGAGAAUGAUGUAAACUAGCAAAGCUGUUCUGGAGGAUUCUCAGAAGAGUGUGCUGGAGGCCUACUCUCCAUUCAUAAAUGGGAGAUGACACAAUUGUAACAGGCUGUGGGAUUUUCCAGCCACAUUGUCUUUAACUCAGCAGGAGCUGCCUACGAGGGUAAGGGCCAGUCAUCUUCAACACAGCCUCCACAAGAACAUUAUGGGAAACCAGGACACUUCUACCUCCCUGACUUGCUGUACUCCCUUGGGCCUAACAACCAGGAUGAAUUCCUCAAAGCUAGUUUGGAACAUAUUUAUUAAAAAAAAAAAAAAAAAAAUAGAGGAAGUCAAACAUGUUGGGAGGAAAACAAUCUAAUGCUUUCCUGGGAAGCUCAGAUUAUCACCAAAAGUCACAAUCCACCUCUCUACUAAACUCAAUUUAUUUACUUUUUAUUUUUAGACAAGCUCUCACUGAGUAGCCCUGGCUGGAAGAAAACUCGCUAUGUAGAACAGGCUGGUCUUGAACUUUCAGAGACUGGCCUCCACAGUGCUCAGAUUAAAGGUGUGCACCACCAUACCCAGCUAAAUUCAAUUUUAACAGCAUGCUACAUGUCUUACUUUCAUUUCUAAUGUGCUUGUAGCCCGCCUUGUCUCUCCCCUAUUUGGUAUGUCUGCUUCUCAAUUCUCUUAUUAGUAGUUGUAUAAUUCCUCUUGUUGGGAAAUCACAAAUUGUGAAACAUGCUAAAUGGGCACAUUUAAAAAUAACCUGGUCUUUUCUGUUGUUUGGGUAAAGCCACUUGCUUGUUUGGGGUUGCUAAUGGGAGUAAGUGAGCUUGUGUGAUUACCUCUAUAGCCAGCUUGUUUGCUCAGAGGGAAAACUUCAUGAAACAGUCACAGGCUGCAUUCCACAGCAUUAGCUAACCACUCGGCAAAUGCCUACAGCUGGGUCCUAGCACUGUCUGCCACCAGGGCUCAGAGGCAAUAUGCUUGUGGGGCAGAGAUGUUGUUGCUAGACAUCAAUACAAGCUUGA